CUAUAUUAAAUAAUAUAUAUUUAAUAUUUGUUAAUAUUUGUUAGGUGUGUAAUCAAUGUUAAAUGUAGAAAUAUACAUUGUUUCCUGGCAAAUGGGCACCACCAUAUUGGAUGCCUGUCAAUCCUUUGUUAUAAGCUCUGUAAUUUGCACUUGGUAGUCAGGAUAGAUAGCAUGCAGAGACAAUAAAAUUAAACUAUGGGAGAGAUUUAUCAAAAUAUUCUAAAAUAG